rnacentral:rRNA from 1 species
CCUUUGACGUUAGCGGCGGACGGGUGAGUAACACGUGGGUAACCUACCUAUAAGACUGGGAUAACUUCGGAAACCGGAGCUAAUACCGGAUAAUAUUUCGAACCGCAUGGUUCGAUAGUGAAAGAUGGUUUUGCUAUCACUUAUAGAUGGACCCGCGCCGUAUUAGCUAGUUGGUAAGGUAACGGCUUACCAAGGCGACGAUACGUAGCCGACCUGAGAGGGUGAUCGGCCACACUGGAACUGAGACACGGUCCAGACUCCUACGGGAGGCAGCAGGC